ACUACUGCCUGGCUACUGUCUUUUUUUUUUAAUUGGAUAUUUUCUUUAUUUACAUUUCAAAUGUUAUCCCCUUUCCUGGUUCCCCUUGACCCCUGCAGAGAUUCCCCUAUCCCAUCCCCCAAACCCCUGCUUCUAUGAGGGUGUUUUCCUACCUAACUACUCACCCCCCUCCUUGCCCUGGCAUUCCCCUACACUGGGGAAUUUCACCUUCACAGUACCAAGGACCUCUCCUUCCUUUGAUGCCCGAUAAGGCCAUUCUCUAUAUGCAGCUGGAGCCAUGGGUCCUUCUAUGUGUACUCUUUGGUCAGUGGUUUAGUCCCUGGGAGCUCGGGUGGGGGGGAGGGUCUGGUUGGUUGAUAUUGUUGUUCUUCCUAUGGAGUUGUAAACCCCUUCAUCUCCUUCAGUCCUUUCUCUAACUCCUUCAUUGGGGACCCUGUGCAUCCACCUGUGUAUUGGUCAGGCUCUGGCAGAGCCUCUCAGGAGACAGCUAUAUCAAGUCCUGUCAGCAAGCGUUUCAUGGCCUCCACAGUAGUGUCUGGGUUUGGUGACUGCAUAUGAGAUGAAUCCCCAGGUGGGUCAGUCUCUGGAUGAGCUUUCUUUCAGUCUCUGCUCUACACUUUGUCUCUGUAUUUCCUCCCAUGAGUAUUUUGUUCCUCGUUGUAAGAAGGACUGAAGCAUCCACAUUUUGGUUUUCCUUCUUCUUGAGCUUCAUGUGGUCUGUGAAUUGUAUCUUGAGUAUUCUGAUCUUUUGGGCUAGUAUCCACUUAUCAGUGAAUGCAUACCUUGUGCGUUCUAGGAUACCUCACUCAUGAUGAUUUAUUCUUGUUCCAUCCAUUUACGUAAGAAUUUCAUAAAGUCAUUGUUUUUAAAAGCUUAGUAGUACUCCAUUAUGUAAAUGUACCACAUUUUCUGUAUCCAUUCCUCUGUUGAAGGACAUCUGGGUUCUUUCCAGCUUCUGGCUAUUCAAAGAAGACCUAAUACCAAUAUUCAAACCUUUUCACAAAAUAGAAACAGAAGGCACACUACCCAAUUUGUUUUAUGAAGCCACAAUUAUGCUUAUACCUAAGCCACACAAAGACCCAACAAAGAAAGAGAACUUCAAACCAAUUUCCCUUAUGAAUAUUGAUGCAAAAAUACUCAAUAAAAUUCUUGUAAACCGAAUCCAAGAACAUAUCAAAAACAAUCAUCCAUCUUGAAGUAGGAUUCAUCCCAGUGAUGCAGGGUUGGUUCAAUAUUUGAUUUGAAAGUAAUCCAGUAUAUAAACAAACUCAAAGGAAACAAAACCACAUGACCAUCUCAAUUUUUUUCUUUUUCUUAGAUAUUUUCAUUUACAUUUCAAAUGCUAUCCUGAAAGUCCCCUAUACCCUCUCCCCGCCCUGCUUCCCAACCCACCCACUCCCGCUUUCUGGUCCUGGCAUUCCCCUGUACUGUGGCAUAUGAUCUUCACAAGACCAAGGGCCUGUCCUCCCAUUGAUAGCCAACUAGGCCAUCUUCUGCUACGUAUGCAGCUAGAGACACAAGCUCUGGGAGGUACUGGUUAGUUCAUAUUGUUGUUCCACCUAUAGGGUUGCAGACCCCUUUAGCUCCUUGGCUACUUUAUCUAGCUCCUUCUUUGGGGGCUCUGUGUUCCAUCCAAUAGAUGACUGUGCGCAUCCACUUAUGUGUUUGCCAGGCACUGGCAUAGCCUAACAAGAGACAGCUAUAUCAGGGUCCUUUCAGCAAAAUCUUGUGGGCAUAUGCCAUAGGGUUUGGGUUUGGUGGCUGUAUAUGGGAUGGAUUCCCAGGUGGGGCAGUCUCUGGAUGGUCCUUCAUUUCAUCUCAGCUCCGGACUUUGGCUUUGUAACUCUUUCCAUUGGUAUUUUGUCCCCAUUCUAAGAAGGAAUGAAGUAUCCACUUGUUGGUCUUCCUUGUUCUUGAGUUUCAUGUGUAUUGCAAAUUUUAUCUUGUGUAUUCUAAGUUUCUGAGCUAAUAUCCACUUAUCAGUGAGUGCAUAUCAUGUGUGUUCUUUUGUGGUUGGGUUACUUCACUCAGGAUGAUAUCCUCCAGAUCCAUCCAUUUGCUGAAGAAUUUCAUAGAUUCAUUUCAUUAAAUGCUGAGAACGCAUUUGACAAAAUUCAACACCCUUUCAUGAUAAAAGUCUUGGAAAGAACAGGAAUUCAAAGCCCAUACCUAAACAUAGUAAAGGCAAUAUACAGCAAUGGAGGGAAACUUGAAGCAGUCCCUCUAAAAUCAGGGACUAGACAAGGCUGACCACUUUCUCGAUACCUAUUCAACAUAGUACUUAAAGUCCUAGCCAGAGCAAUUACACAACAAAAGGAGAUCAAAGGGAUACCAAUUGGAAAGGAAGAAGUCAAAAUAUCACUAUUUGCAGAUGAUAUGAUAGUAUACUUAAGUGACCCCAAAUAUUCCAUCAGAGAACUCCUAAACCUGAUGAACAAUGUCAGCAAAGAAGCUGGAUAUAAAAUUAACUUAGCCAGACUAACUAGAGGGCACAGGGACAGUAUCCUAAUUAACUAAAUCAGAAAUGAAAAGGGAGACAUAGCAACAGAACACGAGGAAAUCUAAAAUAUUAUCAGAUCCUACUACAAAAGGCUAUACUCAGCAAAACUGGAAAACCUGGAUGAAAUGGACAAAUUUCUAGACAGAUACCAGUUACCAAAAUUAAAUCAGGAUCAGAUUAGUGAUCUAAACAGUCCCAUAUCCCCUAAAGAAAUAGUCUAUUAAUUGUCUUUCAACC
rnacentral:lncRNA from 1 species